rnacentral:lncRNA from 1 species
UAUACUUCAACCAAGUAAGAAGAUGAACAUUGAAGAACAAAAUGAAAGAUCAAAGACAAUACUAAACAUUCAUCAAAGUUUCACCCUUACUCUAGCUAAAUGUUUAGAAAUACAUAGUGAAAUGUUACAAAGAAAAUGAAGGAAUCUAGAAUAUGAUGGAGAGAAUUGAUGCUUCAAAAUCGUGGCCAAGGUCCCCUUUUAUAGGCAAAGGAACAUCCAAAAUUCAAGUAGGCAAUGCAACUUGUUUCUGUCCAGCUUCAAGACCUGGAACAUGCAACCUGAUGCCAAUUUUCAGAUACAUUGUGCAGUGAAUUUGGACUUAUGAUCAACAGAUAAAAUAUUUCCACUUGAGUUAUCUUUACAUUGGUUCAAAGAUCAGGUUCAUUGGAUCUAAAUAACUCUAGAUAUGACAAAAACAAUAAGUACUGCUUCACAGGUAAAGCUGUAUCCGGCAGGUAACAAGCUGGACUUUGCAUGAUAAUUUUGGCUGCCUUGUGAUACGAAUUUGACUUCUUCCAAAACAUUAAAGUUGUAGAAACGUGCCUUAUCUUUCCAACUCAACUUGAAUCACCUCGAUCCAAUGUCUGCAGCUCAAGUUAUGAAUAUUUUACCGACAGCUGCUUCUUGCUUGAAGCAGUCACUAUUUUUGACUUUUCAACAUUAUUUUCCUCCACUUGCUCCACUUGUAAUAAAUUGGAAAUACAUGUGAAAUACAUCAAAUAGAUACUCUUUCAAAUGUAUAAUACUCAUGCCACCAUGUAUGUAAAUACGUAUUUCAAUUAAUUGCAUUUUUAACCAUGUAUUUAUGGAAAUUGAAUUUACGGCAUGAGAAUUGGAAUUAGAGACUAACAUUAGCGUUUUUUAAA